CGGAAACCCAAGCAUUGUAAAUAG
rnacentral:sRNA from 1 species